GCUGUGAUGGCCGAGUGGUAUAGAGGCGUUGGACUUGAAAUCCAAUGGGAUCCUUCGCGGCA
rnacentral:tRNA from 1 species